UUGAAAGGGAAACGAUUGAAGUCAGUCAUGCCGGUGGGAAUCAACUUAGGGGAAACUCUAGGUGCACUUCUUCGCUUGGCAGGUUAACGUCGAUCUUGAAUGCCAUAAAAUAAUUGGGGGAAGGUAGCUCCUUCGGGAGUGUUAUAGCCCUUGAUAGAUGUGAUGUUUGGGGUCGAGGAUUGCAACGGAUACCCUCUGGGGCUAGCUGCCUGAUCUCUAAUUGGUGUUGGGUUACGGAUAGCAUGCUGACCGUGAUCUAAUUACUGGUUAAAAGGUUAGAGUGUGCAUAAAUUCGUUAAGGAUGUUGACGUA
rnacentral:rRNA from 1 species